rnacentral:lncRNA from 1 species
ACAGUUUGAACUUUCGUUGAGACGUACGUCAGCUUGAGGUCGCCAUGUUUGCAAAGAAGAAUUGCUGUGCCUUCGUUUUGUUGGCAGUUUGUUUAUUGGUGAUGAGUGACAUGGCAUUUGCGCCGAGAGGGGGUACCAGAGGCAGGGUCAUCGAGUUGAGGGAUGCGGCGGCCGCCGCGGCUGCGGCUGACACUGCACCUGCAGCGGAGGCUCGGGCCCUCGACGAUGCA